CUGGCAUUUCCCUGCUGGCACUCAUUCUCUGUCCUGCUGCCCUGUGAAGAGGUGUCUUCCAUCAUGAUUGUAAGUUUCCUGAGGCCUCCCCACCCAUGCGGAACUGUGAGUCAAUUAAGCCUCUUUCCUUUGUAAAUUACCCAGUCUCAAGUAUUUCUUCACAGCAGCGUGAGAACAGACUAAUACAACUUCCAUGCCUUUUCUUGGCCAGAUAGGUCAUUUGUUUUUAGCAUUGAAUAAUAUUCCAUGAUCUGGAUAUACCACAUUUAAUUAUCCAAUCAACUACUAAAGGAUAUAUUGGUUGUUUGCAAGUUUUGGAGAGUGUGCUUGGUUUUGUAAGAAAUGAACAAACUGUUUUUCAAAGUGCACCACUCUGCAUUACCAGCAGCAAUAAAUGAAAGUUCCUGUUGCUCUACAUUCUCACCAGCAUUUGGUACCAUCAUGUUUUGGAUUUUGGCCAUUCUAAUAGUUGUGUAGUGGUAUCUCAUUGUUUUAACUUGCAUUUCCCAAAUUAUAUAUAAUGUUGAAUAUCUUUUCAUAUGCCUACUUGUCAUUGUGUAUCUUCCUUGGUGUAGUGUCUGACAUCUUUGGCCCAAUGCUUAAUCAAGUUGUUAAUUUUCUUAUUGUUGAGUUUUAGGUAUUCUUUGUAUACUUUGGAUAACAGUUCUUCAUCAGCUGUGUCUUCUGCAAAUAUCUUC
rnacentral:lncRNA from 1 species